UCGAGCGAACAGACGAGGAGCUUGCUCCUCUGACGUUAGCGGCGGACGGGUGAGUAACACGUGGAUAACCUACCUAUAAGACUGGGAUAACUUCGGGAAACCGGAGCUAAUACCGGAUAAUAUAUUGAACCGCAUGGUUCAAUAGUGAAAGACGGUUUUGCUGUCACUUAUAGAUGGAUCCGCGCCGCAUUAGCUAGUUGGUAAGGUAACGGCUUACCAAGGCAACGAUGCGUAGCCGACCUGAGAGGGUGAUCGGCCACACUGGAACUGAGACACGGUCCAGACUCCUACGGGAGGCAGCAGUAGGGAAUCUUCCGCAAUGGGCGAAAGCCUGACGGAGCAACGCCGCGUGAGUGAUGAAGGUCUUCGGAUCGUAAAACUCUGUUAUUAGGGAAGAACAAAUGUGUAAGUAACUAUGCACGUCUUGACGGUACCUAAUCAGAAAGCCACGGCUAACUACGUGCCAGCAGCCGCGGUAAUACGUAGGUGGCAAGCGUUAUCCGGAAUUAUUGGGCGUAAAGCGCGCGUAGGCGGUUUUUUAAGUCUGAUGUGAAAGCCCACGGCUCAACCGUGGAGGGUCAUUGGAAACUGGAAAACUUGAGUGCAGAAGAGGAAAGUGGAAUUCCAUGUGUAGCGGUGAAAUGCGCAGAGAUAUGGAGGAACACCAGUGGCGAAGGCGACUUUCUGGUCUGUAACUGACGCUGAUGUGCGAAAGCGUGGGGAUCAAACAGGAUUAGAUACCCUGGUAGUCCACGCCGUAAACGAUGAGUGCUAAGUGUUAGGGGGUUUCCGCCCCUUAGUGCUGCAGCUAACGCAUUAAGCACUCCGCCUGGGGAGUACGACCGCAAGGUUGAAACUCAAAGGAAUUGACGGGGACCCGCACAAGCGGUGGAGCAUGUGGUUUAAUUCGAAGCAACGCGAAGAACCUUACCAAAUCUUGACAUCCUCUGACCCCUCUAGAGAUAGAGUUUUCCCCUUCGGGGGGACAGAGUGACAGGUGGUGCAUGAUUGUCGUCAGCUCGUGUCGUGAGAUGUUGGGUUAGUCCCGCAACGAGGC
rnacentral:rRNA from 1 species